GUAUAAUAAAUUACCACCCAAGACAGAGUGCAUUCAUAAUGUUGUAAUACCGAUGCUUGUCAAUGAGGGGGGACAGAUGUCACAUAGCAUGAUAUGCAGCUUUCAGUGACAUGUCAAAGACAUGGUGUAAGAUCAUAUUUAUUUGUCAGCAAGGUGAGUUCAUGGUAACCAUACAUGGUUAUCAAGGAGAGGAUACCUCCUAGGCAGCAAUCAAGGAGAUGAUGCAGUGAAAUGGAAUAUCGUGCAUGGUUUUUAAGAAAAUCGUCCCACAGCUACAAGUAAAAAAAAAAAAAGAGAGACGACUAUGAUAACUUCCUGUCUGAAGUGCAAAAACAGCAAGUAGUAGUCCUGAUGACAUGCGUAUGGCUGGCUAAAUAACUGGGCCAAGAUCAUGUGUAUCAUUUUCACAUGUUCUGUUAAUUCUACCUGGAUUCAUGACAAAAGACCACAGCCAACCAACUAACAAGGCACACUUUGGACGAGAAGAUCAGAGACAGACAUUUAGGAUGGGUAGUACAAAUCUGCCACGAUAGUAGGAAAAAUCUCAAAGUGCCUGUUUCGCUGACUGGAGAGGAAGUGUCCUCUUUUCAUAAGAAGGUCAUCAAAUGAUAAGGAGCUUGAUCUGAAACUGUAACGCCAGCACAUGAAAAGUACACUAAGGUUAUAAUACAUUGGAUGUGUAAUCAAAUAAUAAUUCCAGAGCAUAAGCUCUUAGCAAAAGAAAGUUAAAGGCAGGGAGAUGUUGUGCUGAGCCUCAAUGAGACUGCCUCUAAUCAAAGUUCAACAAAUGAACAGAGAGAAUAAAGAAAAAUAACAUGCCUUUUAUUUUUUUUUAAAGAUCUUGUAAUAAUUAACAUUGUUUGAUCUGAUUCAAUUAACAUUGUUUUACUACAUAGUUUCUUUAAACUCGGGAGAUCAGAAACAACAUUUAAAAAUGCCAACUAUCCUCUCUGUCUCAAAAAUAAAUAAAACAUU